ACAUCGAUAAGAGCUAUGUUGGCAUCGAUGCUUCUCCACCGCUAUUGUCCACCUCUAUUCCUACACUAUUAUUGUUUAUGAAAACCUAUUUUCCAGUUAAAUGACGGCCAAUCUGUUGAACCUGAAUGUGGACACGCUGUUCGAGCAGCACGGCGUGUCCGAGAUCGACGAGGUGCACAAGAAGAUCCAGUCGGUGGUGGAGAACAAGCGCGAGGAGCUGCGCACCCAUGUCGGGGAGCGGUACCGGGACCUCCUGCAGGCGGCGGACACCAUUGCGGCAAUGCAGACGUCGGCAGGCACGCUCAUGGAGCAAGUGCGUCACGUGCAGGCCAACUGCCGCAGCCUAAACGAGCAGCAGCUCCUGGGCUUCCAGUCCAACACGAAUCAGAGUCCCAAGGAGGCGGCACUGCAGCAGAGGACGGCCGGCAGGAAGCUGCAGACCUACUACGGCACCAUGGCCCAGAUUAAGCUGCUCACCGCCCUGCCGGAACUGAUCUGGACGCACCUGGACAACGACCGCUUCUACGCCGCCACCGAGCUCUUCAUCUUCAGCCGGCACAUCAGCACGGGCUUGCAGCUGGACGGACAGAGUGCCCUGAUGCAGAAACUGCCGGUGGCCCGCAAGCAAUGGGAGAUCCUGCGUCCCUUCCAUGUGACCAUCAAACAGGCGGUGCUGGCCGCCCUUGAGCGGGAGGAACUUCUACCCGAAAUGGCCGUGGACUGCCUGCAGAGCCUGCUCCUGCUGGACAAGAGCGACCUGGGUGCUGUGCUGAAGACCUUCCUCGGCCUGCGAUCCUCCGCUUUCCUCAACUGCCUGCAGAGCCGACCAUCGGAGCCACGUCGCGUCAAGGAGCGCAUCCUGGCCAGCUUGGGCGUGCUGAACAGCACGGUGGAGCUGUUGGACAAGUGUCUGCUGGGUGAUAGCCUGCUCUUUGCCCGCCUGGCAGAUUGCGCUUCUGCCACCUGCCCACCCAGUAUCAACCGGAUGGAGAGCAGCGAGCGACAGCUGUCUCACCUGCUGCCGGAAAUCAUCGCCGGCUUUAGGCCGCAGUUUGAGGUGCCCCAACUGACGCCAGAGCAACUGGGCGCAUCACUUCAACAGUGGCUGGAUAAGAUGAACGCCCUGGCUGCGGCUCACCUCCAGCAGGUCUUCGCGUUGGUCAGCAACAUGCAGACCAUCCAGGACAUCAAGUCGGCGGCCAGGGCUAGUGGCCGGCCGGAUUUCGUACGCUUGGAACAGCAGCUGCAUCUGAAGCACAGCCAGUUGGACUUCUACGUCCGGAAGUACGUGCCGCUCAUCAAUGCCAGGGUGCGGGAGAUCAUCCGCAGUAGCUGGGCGGCAGCCAUGAAGCAGACCUACGAGCAGGUGCUCUCGCUCAUCGAAGCCGGUCAGUCGCAAUCGCCGCAACAAAUUUGGCGGGAGCAGAGCGACGAUCUACCAUUAAGCCUGGCGGCGGCGCUCAGUGAUCAGCCGAAGCGACUGGCCAAUCGGACAAAGGGCUACGAUGGCGCUACCAUGGAGCUGUGCAAACAAUUCGACUCACACCUUGCGGAUAUCGUUCAGGAGCUGAAUGUAAUGCUUCAGGAGCAGACGACGCGGACAGAGGAUAAGGUUUCGCUGAUCCAGUUCCUGCGAGAAACCGCCGAGGAGCAGCUGACAGAGUACUUGACCAACCUGAAGGGCCUGCAGCUUAGGGAGCGCCCCGCGCUGCUCUUGGCCUUGCGCAACAGCCUGGCCUUGGUGGAACUGUGCCCCAGCUUGAAGCUCUGCUUCUGCCAGCCUUCGAGUUGGCGGCAGUGGACUGGCAACCAGGCCGGAGUGGGCAUCGAGCACUGGCAGCGCAUUUGCGGGCUCAUCGAAGAGGAGAUGCUCACAUUCUGGCUACUGAUCGUUGAUGAUGUGCUGGCCGGGCACAAUUGCAAGGAAAAGUUACCGAAGGUCAUCAAUCAUGAAGUCGUCCUGAGCGAUUUUGCGCUCUGGCAGACCAUAACUUUGGAGCAGCGUGACGAGGACCAGGAGCAGAGUGUUCAGUCGACCAUUCGCAUUCCCAGCCAGCCGCGCCUUUCACUGCAAACGUACCUUCAUCAGUUGAUCCAGGCCUUAAACCAGGCUGUUCCCCAAACACUGCCCCCCAAAGUAUUGCAAGCCUUUAUCCAGCGGCUUUUGGGAAAACUGCUUUCCCACUACGAGGGAUUGGGCAAAGCGGAGUGCACCAAAUCCAGCCAGAACAUUGCCCUGCAGUUGUACUUCGACCUGAAGUUCCUGGAGCGCGUAUUCGCAGUGACCCGCGAGGAUAGGGCUCUCUAUGACCAGAUCCACUCCCAGCAGAGCCAGCUGCGCGACUGCAUCGAUCCCUUCGACUUUGAGCUAUUUGCCGAGCACAUAACCGCUCAUGUGACUAGAGCUUCUAGCCGACUGCAGGGCGAACUGGGUGUGCUGACGCCCACGACAGCAUCUCAAAGUCAGGGCUCAACGGCAGUCAGCACAUUGGCGCAUGAAGCAGAUCCCAAUGUGCUCUGCCUCAGCUCAUCCGGAUCCACGUCGCUCUGGUUCCCCCUACUGCCCAUUGUAAUGCCCCAAGCUGCCGGAAGGGCCACUGGCGUCGAACGGAAAUCCCUGGCACAAGAGCCAGCCGAGAAACCGGCGACAACGACGACGACGACACCGACGAGGAAGUCUGGCUCAGGGGCCAAUGGAGCCCGCAAGGGAGACAGUAGCAGAUCCAAAUCGAGUGCCGCUUCCUUCUUCGGGAUGUCCCAGGAGUGGUUUCGCUAGAACAGUCAAAUCAAGUGGCCUGUGAAGUGCAUCCAAGUGGAAUGCGGAUGGGAACACCGAACACUGUCUCCCCAUCCGCUGUUCCAUUGUUAGGCCGAGCAUUCAAAAUGUUUAACCUUUAUCCAAACAUAUUUGUAAAAUGGGCGGACACCGCCUAGUAAUUCUGUUGCUGUUGCUGUUGCCACCGAUGCUAUUUCUUGCCUCCUUUCUUGCCACCGCCUGCGGCUGCCUUUUGGUCCUGUCCUUUCUUGGCUCCACCUUUGUCGCCGUCGCCGCCUUUGUUUUUAUUUCCGGCUCCACCGCCGGCUCCACCUCCUCCACCACCGCCCUUUUUCUGUGGGCAAAGAAACACGGAAAGAUUUCGCUUUGAGCUGGGACCGAGCAAAUAAUGAGCCACGGUUGUUUAAAGUAGCCGGGCAAAGUCAGUAAAUGAGAAAAAGGUUAGUAAUGACGGAAUUGCAAUGAGAGCGGUUCCAAAGGGUUUGAAGUUUCUUAAUUACAUAAACAUGUUCAACGUGAAAACGAAUUAUAAUGUCCAUAAUCUAUCCAUUUAAGUUGAAGAAGGGAUCUUAUUAAGUCCAUUGCAAGUAACAUUGUCACUUAUUUAAAAUUGCUUUAUAAUGUUUUUGAGUAUAUACUUCUACUUCUUCUUUUAAAUAUGAAACUAUUUAAAACUUUUAUUUGACUAUUUUCGAAUUAAAUUUUAAUAUCUGAAAGUGUUAUUUAAACUUAAACCAAAUUAAACUUAAAUAAAAUAAAUUUUUAUCAAAUAAAAUCUCAAAUGUUCUACAUUAAUUUAAAUAUUUUAUGAUUUAAUUUUAAGCAAUUUUAUGUGCAUUGUAUUUAAAGAUAUGGUUCAAUAUUUAAUUUAAAUAUACAAUUUUAAAUUCAAUAGUCAGAUGUUUUGUUUAUCAGUGUAACCACUUAUUUAAAACAGCUUUCAAGAUUUGAAAAUGAUUAAGUCCGUUAAAAAUGUAAAGUUUUUUAAAUGGCCACUAAGAAGCUUAUUUCUUUGUUGGCACUAAACAGAAUAAGCACUUAGAUGAAGAUAUUAAGUAGUUAGACUCACAAUUAGUGCGCAAGUUGCAUAACACAAAUAUUGCUUACAUUGCCACCGCCACCGCCGCCUCCU